CAGUAUCCACGGGAAUACGGAGGAUCCAAGCGUUAUCCGGAAUCAUUGGGUUUAAAGGGUCCGUAGGCGGUCUUGUAAGUCAGUGGUGAAAGCCCAUCGCUCAACGGUGGAACGGCCAUUGAUACUGCAGGACUUGAAUUAUUGGGAAGUAACUAGAAUAUGUAGUGUAGCGGUGAAAUGCUUAGAGAUUACAUGGAAUACCAAUUGCGAAGGCAGGUUACUACCAAUUGAUUGACGCUGAUGGACGAAAGCGUGGGUAGCGAACAGGAUUAGAUACCCCAGUAGUCCCUGUCUCUUAUAC
rnacentral:rRNA from 1 species